GUCAUGUUGUUGGAUGGCACCAGUAUGUGACGUUCCUAGGAACUUAGCUCUGAGGAAAAAACAAAGCAAACCGGGGAAGUACGUAGCCUUGAACCGGAGUAACCAGGGACAGAAAGGAAGGAAAAGGGUUUCAUACCUUCACGGAACGACGCUCACUUCGUCCGCCUGAGGAGGAAAAAUAAGUUUAAACCUUUCUGUGAAAAAGAACGUGGAGCCCUUUCUGCCGAAUGGAAACCCGCUAAACCCCGUUAUGGAGUCUGCUACAAUUAAGCAUCUAACCAGGAAUUGUCUAUGGACACAACUCUCCAGGCAAUUCAUGCAGAAAGUGUGUUGACGAUUUCCUGUUUCUUGCAGAGCGCUUCACCGUUAAGGCUCUUAGUAGCUGGCGAUUGUAAAGCACAUUUUCCGCUUCAUGAAAAUACAGUGCUCUUCUUGUGUUUGUAACCUUGGAAAUCUCAACUCUCAUGAGUCUGGAAUUUUGCAAAAGCCUGAUAAACUUGUCACAUGAUUCCAGUGUCUACCCAUUCCUUAUGGAGUCUCCCUGUGUCACCCAGGCUGGAGUGCAGUGGCAUGAUCUCGGCUCACUGCAACCUCUGCCUCCCAGGUUCAAGCGAUUCUCCUGCCUCAGCCUCCUGAGUAGCUGGGAUUACAGGCGUGCACCACUAUGGCCGGCUAACGUUUGUAUUUUUUUUUCAGUAGAGACGGGGUUUCACCAUGUUGGCCAGGCUGGUCUCGAACUCCUGACCUCAGGUGAUCCACCUGCCUCAGCCUCCCAAAGUGUUGGGAUUACAAGCAUGAGCCACCGCAUCCAACCUCAGGUAUUUCUUUAUAGCAAUGCAAGAAUGGACUAAUAUACUCCUGCAGACGUGGGAAAAAGUGCAGACUCCACACAGACGGUAAGCCUGGCCAGGAAUCAAUGUUUUGUUUCCUUCUCAACAACAUUUUAAUGCAAAUGAUGUUGAAAAAAAAGUUAUUCAAGGACCUGCUGUAUCGUAAUUUGCUAUCAAUUUCCAAACUCUAGAAUAUGAGCAUUGGAACUUUAGCUGUUUUGUCUGUUUUUGUUAUUUUGAGAUGGAGUCUUGCUCUGUUGCCCAGGCUGGAGUACAGUGGCACGAUCUCGGCUCACUGUAACCUCUGCCUCCCGGGUUCAAGUGAUUCUCCUGCCUCAGCCUCCCGAGUAGCUAGAACUACAGGCAUGUGCCACCACGCUUGGCUAAUUUUUGUAUUUCUAGUAGAGACGGGGUUUCUCCAUGUUGGCCAGGCUGUUCUCAAACUCCUGGCCUCAGGUGAUCCACCCGCCUCAGCCUCCCUAAGUGCUGGGAUUACAAGUGUGAGCCACCGUGCCCGGCCUAACUUAGGUCUUUUAUUUACUGACACAUCCCCUGCAUACCUUAUAAUGCCUGGCACAUGUUAAAUGAUGAAUAAAAGAAUGCUAUGCUUGGCUGAACUGAA